GACGAACGCUGGCGGCGUGCCUAAUACAUGCAAGUCGAACGCAGUGGGGACGGGUGAGUAACACGUGGGUAACCUCCCAUCAGAGGGGAUAAAACUUGGAAACAGGUGCUAAGCCGAUACUGAUGGAUGGACCCGCGGUGCAUUAGCUAGUGGGUGAGGAAACGGCUCGCCAAGGCCACGAUGCAUAGGCGACCUGAGAGGGUGAUCGGCCACACAGAGACGGAGACACGGCCCAGCCUCCUACGGGAGGCAGCAGAAGGUAAUCUGCGGCAAUGGACGAAAGUCUGACCGAGCCACGCCGCGUGAGUGAAGAAGGUUUUCGGAUCGUAAAACUCUGUUGUUAGGGAAGCGGUAUCUAACCAGAGGGCCACUGCUAACUACGUGCCAGCCGCCGCGGUAAUAC
rnacentral:rRNA from 1 species